GAUAGAAUGACCGAGGUUAGGUGUUAAAUUGUAAAUUUAUUUACGGAGUUUCUCCUUCUAUCA
rnacentral:tRNA from 1 species